rnacentral:rRNA from 1 species
AUUGAACGCUGGCGGCAUGCUUUACACAUGCAAGUCGAACGGCAGCGGGUCCUUCGGGAUGCCGGCGAGUGGCGAACGGGUGAGUAAUGCAUCGGAACGUACCCAGUCGUGGGGGACAACGUAGCGAAAGUUACGCUAAUACCGCAUACGACCUGAGGGUGAAAGCAGGGGAUCGCAAGACCUUGCGCGAUUGGAGCGGCCGAUGUCAGAUUAGCUAGUUGGUGGGGUAAAGGCUCACCAAGGCGACGAUCUGUAGCGGGUCUGAGAGGAUGAUCCGCCACACUGGAACUGAGACACGGUCCAGACUCCUACGGGAGGCAGCAGUGGGGAAUUUUGGACAAUGGGGGCAACCCUGAUCCAGCCAUGCCGCGUGAGUGAAGAAGGCCUUCGGGUUGUAAAGCUCUUUCGGCCGGGAAAAAAUCGCAUGGAUUAAUACUCUGUGUGGAUGAUGGUACCGGAAUAAGAAGCACCGGCUAACUACGUGCCAGCCGCCGCUGUAAAAC